ACCAGAAGCUAGAAGAUGCAAGGAAAGAGUCUUCCCUACAGCUUUCAGAGGGAGCGCGGCCCUGGUAACACCUUGACUUCAGACUUCUAGCCUUCAGAACUGUGAGACAGAUGCCACUGUCCAUAGAUGGAGGCAAUCUAAUUAUGGUCCUCAGCAGCCCUGGGCUGGGGGAUCACGGCAUCCUGCAGAUGAGGAAACUGAGCAGGACUCGUGACUCCAGCCAGGAAGGGGACUUUUGUGUUAGCAGAUCUGCUGCUCACACUAUGAAUCCUCUGAAUCCUGGGCACUAUUGGAACUCCUAAUACAGUGAAUGUCUGAAGAAAUUUACACGGCAACAGUGCAGAGACAGCCAGCUGCCAGAACCCAGCUGGUUAGAAUCCUUCCCAGAGGUCGGUGCUCCGUGGAGAACAGAGGCCCUGCCCAGAGAUCAUCAUGGAUCUGUUCACAAUCUGCUGCUGCAGAAAUAGCAGCCAUAUCAAUGUACUCAUGUCCCUGGGGCUGGACAGACUGAUGGGCCCAUCUGCAGGGCAGGAACAGCCGGAAGAGAAAAUUGAGCAAGAAACUAAUGAAGAGCUGGAGGAGAACCAGGAAACAGAGGAUUUGGAAAUAACGUGAAUUUCAAAAGAACAAGUCCAGUUACUCAAUAGGGACGGAAAACCUAUUGGAAACUUUGCGAAGAACGGUCCAACUUCCCAAGCAAAGAGUGUGUCC
rnacentral:lncRNA from 1 species